UACGUAGGGUGCGAGCGUUGUCCGGAAUUAUUGGGCGUAAAGAGCUCGUAGGCGGUGUGUCACGUCGGCCGUGAAAACCUACAGCUUAACUGUGGGCGUGCGGUCGAUACGGGCAUCACUGGAGUUCGGCAGGGGAGACUGGAAUUCCUGGUGUAGCGGUGAAAUGCGCAGAUAUCAGGAGGAACACCGGUGGCGAAGGCGGGUCUCUGGGCCGAUACUGACGCUGAGGAGCGAAAGCGUGGGGAGCGAACAGG
rnacentral:rRNA from 1 species